CACCUCCUUUAUCACUACAGUUUGCAGCAUCCACAGCCUUGCACAGCCAGACCUGCUGAUGGUAUCAUCCAAAGAGGAAACCAGUGAGAGCCGGGAUUGAAACUGGAUGUUCCCAGGUUUGGCAGGGGAAGGAGGUGGGGCCAUCCUGCUGGGUUAGAGGGGAGAUAUGGGGUGAGAAGGGGAGGCCUGGAGGGAGUAUCUGCCUUAUCCUUGCAAUGUGCAGGAAGGAAGAUGUGCUGAGGUCACUGGUCACCUUCUUUAAAGCACCCAAAGAAUGAGGGGGCAAAGGAAAACCCACCCCAUGGUGACACUGCUGCUGUGGAGAGCACAGCUCCGGUUCCUGGCAUGGGCAGACAGCAGGAAUUGGGCUUGGCAUCCCAAAUAACAGGGAUUAGGGCUAAGCGAAACCCAAAUCAAGACUCUGGGGUUGCUGUUCUGGUUCUCACCUGUAUUCAUUUCUGAGUUUGCUGCUGGUUUCACAGAUAUAGGAUAAAGAGGGACUGGAGAGGUUUGUGAGAGGUCCUUGGGGUGUUUUCCUUGGUGGGCAGGAAUGAUGCUGCCACAAGACUUCUGGGAAUAGGGCUGCCAUGGAUAAGGCAUGAACACACCAAGGAUGCUCCUUAGGAAACACUAAACAACAACAUGUUGCAGGUCCAUCCUCUGGAGCACACUGAACUCAACAUCCCCUACAAGGAUCUGGAGGUGUUGAGUCACUGCCAUCUUCUUAUCUUCAUCCCAAGGGAUCGUGUGUUGCUGUCAGUGCUUCCCACUGUGGCCAUUGUGAGUGGGCAUGCGGAACCCUGGAGCCAGCAUUGGGAUGAGAUGCCAAUGACACCUCUGAGCCUCCUGAUCCGCAUCCUCUUUGAUCCUGCUUCCCCUCGAGCAGAGGUUUUCCAUAAUGUGCCUCCUAUUCAUUUGCCAGUGCUUAAAAGGAUUGGGAAGAUGAGGGGAUUUCACUUCAGCAGCAGCAGGUAGUGUGUCAGGCAGCUUCCUGCUCCAUGAUAACAUGCCCUAAUCAAUAGUGCCAGCCCAUAGAACUGCUCCAAAGGGAAAACAAGAGCCCCUUUUAAAAGGAAGGGCUAAGAGACCCCAAGUGAACAAGCCCCAGCCAUGGUUUCUGUGUGUGUGUGCACUUGGUUGAUGAGGGUUUGGAAAGCACAAGCCAAUAUAGGGCUAAAAUGGCUCAGCUCGAAGCAGAUGCUCAGCCUGUCCACAUGGGGUUUACCAAAGCCAUGGGCUUAUUUGCCUGGAUCAAGGUGGUGCUCAUGGAGAAAGAGGAAAGCUGGAAGUUUAAGGUGGUUACUCAUAGAGUAGAUGGCAGCUGGAGCCAGUGCAGGGGAGCUGAGCCACACAGACUGGACUAGGAGAGGAGCCUCAGCAUCCAUGGGGCUGGGGGAAGGAUGAUGGCAUCCCCCAGCUUGGGAGGAGAACCUCAGCAUCCUCAGCCUGGAAGAGGAGCCUCAGCAUCCCCAGCCUGGAAUAGGAACCUCAGCAUCCUCAGCCUGGAAUAGGAACCUCAGCAUCCUCAGCCUGGAAUAGGAACCUCAGCAUCCCCAGCCUGGAAUAGGAACCUCAGCAUCCCCCAGCCUGGAAUAGGAACCUCAGCAUCCUCAGCCUGGAAUAGGAACCUCAGCAUCCUCAACCUGGAAUAGGAGCCUCAGCAUCCCCCAGCCUUCAGAACCUCAGCAUCCCCAGCCUGGGAGCAGAGCCUCAGCCUUGCACAUGUGCUGGCUGUUAUUAAACCGUGUAGCUCCAGUCAGCACCCAGCGAUCGGCACUGAGAUAUCAUUGUCACUGCCGUAGCGUGACUCUUUUUUCCCUCUCCUCUCUUUUCCCUUUGAUUGGAAUGGAGCCUCCUGGGAGAUGUGAACUCAUCGCAAACGGCUUCCCAGGGAUGGGAGCAAAUGAAAUGUAACAAAUCUCCAUUUGCAAUUUUGGGGGCACGUGACUGGAAUGGGAAAAGGGCCGUUGGAGCUGAGCUCUGCCUCGGUGCUGCUGCUGGAAUAAACCCUUUAUCACCUUCA
rnacentral:lncRNA from 14 species